rnacentral:lncRNA from 1 species
UCGAGAACAAAGGGAAGACCUCAUCCCGAUGCAAACAAAGACUCGAUUGAUCGACAAGGAGGAAAGCUUCCUCAACGACACCUCUACGCUUUCACGACCCCAUUAAGAGCAGGGGGAAAACCCUCACUCGAACAUGAAAGAGAAAGGGGAAGGUAAAAAAGACAAGCCGACGAACUACUUCUAUGACAAAUAAAAACAAACUACAUCAAAGACAUAAGGAACUUCGUCUCAGUCGCUAAGAGGGAACAUGACAUGGGCCGAGGAUAAAUCGAUCUCCUCAA